CGCCAGCCAGACAGCCAGCCCUGCACCGCAGGAGUCGACACGCACGGCAGCCUAGACGCCAUCAGUUAAACUUAUAUGAGCAGGUGCUGACCUCUGCAAUUCUAAACCAUCCACUUUGGGCAAAAUUCAUCAUGGAUAUGAAAAAAGGCCCCCAAGGAUAUGAUUCAUAGUCCAGCGUUUGUGUGAGCACUCCAGUCAGAACGAACUCUGCAUUGUGAACAUCUGAACAGGGUGGAAACAGAGACUGUUAGAGAUCCACUGCUAUGUGUGCACACAUACUCACAUACGUAAGCAGGGAGACGUACCUAUGCCUCUGGCAAAAUAUUCUCGGCAUAAAUGAAGGUCAUUUUCACAGGAUAUUAAAAUUAUUUCCGACAAACUCUAAGGAAAAGAAAAUGAGUUUCUCAGUGACCGAACACUGAAUGUGACACAGGGCAAUGACGGACUCGCUGGCGGACUCCACUCUACCCACCGAGUUCUGCUUGUGCUCCAUGAGCUUUCGGAAAGACGGUUGCUUGGAUAACACCUUUCCUCCUGCACACUCUACGAUUGCCUUCAUAGUGGAAAGACUUGGACAGAUUCCAGGUGUGAUGUAAAAAUAUUUUGCCUAAAAUUAAAUGAAAAUAUAUGUAUUAUGUUCUUAAAAUGCUUUCAUUUUUAGAGUACAUAAUUUUCAUAGAUUCUGCCCUGAGAUUUUUGACAAAAUUUCUAAUUUUAUGACAUUAUGAAGGUACUAUUCUCCUACAAGCAUUCAAUCUGAAGUGGAAGAGGAAUCCAGCUAUGUAAAUUUGGAAUGUAAGCAUUUUCACAUGUUAAGUAUGCCUGAAGAUGAUUUAAAGUAACCAGAACUUAAGUCCCUAAAACAAAGUGUUUUGUGAAUAAGCAAGAAUAUUACAAAUAUUUUUGACAAUUUUUAUACAAUUUUAAAUCAGCAUUAUAUUUCACCACACUUAUCUGCCCAGCAACAGCCUCUGGCAUAGCAUGCUGCCUGGCUUGUAUCCCUUUUCUUUAUUUUCUCCAUAUUAUUUGAACUCAAAGCAGGAAAUGAUAUUGAUGCUUAAGAUUUAAUUAUCUAACAAGAUUGCUCCUGAGGAUACCACAAAAUACUAUUCUGUCUUAAACUGCAAAUCAUUUCUAAUUCCUGUUGACUCCUUAAGAAGGUUAAAGAACAGAUUAUCUUUAUUGAUUUACUUAGUUCUUUGGUACAAAAAAAUUUCUAACUGUUCUAACACUUAUCUAACAUUUAAAAAUCUUUAGUUCUGAAUUAUAUCUACGCACACACCGAAUAUUUUUCCCAAGUAUCUUCUCCAGCUGAAUAUACAUUUAUUGACGAUAGUACGAAGCAAUGUCCUCUAAAGAUUAAAAGCAGAAAAAUGAACAUGCCUCUUAACCAAUUACUCAAAAACCUACUCUUUGAACAACUUAUUUCUCACAGAUGUAUUUAUUAAAUUUGUGUACUUAUUUUUAAACAUUAUAGUAAAGUUCUCUAGAGAUGUGCUGUGGUUCACGGGAGGAACACCUCCAGUGGCAAUGUCCAAGAAGGGAGCCAAGUGGUAAAUGGGAUGCAGGGUGAGCCCAGCUCCCCUGGAGGCGCACUUCCCACCAAAUCGCCUGGUAGUUCCCUUGAGCAGGUCCAUGUG